rnacentral:tRNA from 1 species
AUCUGCAUAGUUUAAAAUUUAAAAACGGUGAGCUUUCUAUUCACAGAUCUUCAAUAGCGGUGUAGAUU